ACUCCAUUGGUUGUGAGUGGUUGCCAUGGACACUGUGAAGCAGAUCCACUUGGGAAUAAUGGAAAGUGAGGGAACCCUGCAUCCCAAGUUGCCAUGGCAACUCAGCACUUUGCUUGUUCUGUUAAACCAUAGCUCAAGCACUUUCUUUUUAAAGACAGCUGUGCAGAUUCACACACAGACACACAAUAUACACCUCCAUCCCUCCCUCUGUUAGAGACAUUGCAUCACAGGGAUUACAUCCUGGUCACAUCCAAGUCACACACACUCGACUGUUAACAUUCAUUUUGCACUUGGAACAUAAUGCUUCACACAUACAUAUCUCAAACAUUCCCUUGCAUACUAGAAGCUGCUCAGAGAAAUGUACCGCAUCACAGUAACACACACACUGUCAGAAAUAGGGGUACAGUAGGGGUCCAUUUCUGUCCCCCAAGGUACAAUCAACACAAAAGUACCCCAUAGGGCUCAUUAUUGGACCUCAAGGUACACAUAUGCACCUUUUUGAGGGUCAAAAAGGUACAUAUUUGUUCCCAAGCAUUAAAAGGUACAUAUUUGUACCAUUUCUUUUAAAGGAUAAGGUACAAUGUUAAGAGACAGCCUCUUGCCAUUUACAACUGCUGUAAAUCUGGUGAGUAACGUAAAUAACUAUUGUGUCAAUUUUUGUUUCCUUUAGUUGGACACAUGGGUAUUGAAGUAGUAUUAGUUUUCUUCAGUUCAUUGACAGUGUGUUUAAUUUUUAAUUUAAAUUUUAAAUUUUAAUUAAAAAAAAGUUAAUUUCACUUAAUAAAAACUGUGAUAUGAACUCAAAAACUGCAAUUGAUUAACCAUUAUUUAAACUGAAUAAAUACUGAAUAACUGAAUCCCUCACACACACCGAAAAAAAACCGCGCUUUUAUUUUGACACGCGCCCAUCCCCCCACAUCUCACGGUCGGAGUCAGUUUCACAGAGCAGCGCAGGAGGACGACAGACACUUAAAGAACAUUAACAGUUUAGUUUGAAUCUCUCUCAGUCAGUCAGGGGGAGAUUAACUGACAGACUGUAUAACGUUACACGUCUUACCAAGAAACCAUUAAAAGUUUAGCACAAAUGUUUCCCGUGGAAGUUUGAAUCUCUCUCAGUCAGGGGGGAGAUUGACUGACAGACGGUCUACUUGCCACCAAACGUCAAAAGUCAGUUACACAGAAUCCUUUUAAAGUUUAGCACAAACGUUUCCCGCGCAAGUUUGGAUCUUUACCAUUGAGGGUGGCUGACUGUUCUCGACCAACCAUCAUUCACACGCAAAAACUUUAAAGAUAAGUAUGAACGUGCCCAGAGCAGUUUUCGAUCUUUACCACUAAGGAGGCUGACUGACUAUCCUCUACCACCCGUCAUUAACACAAGAAAAACUAAAGAAAUGUUACUUCAUAUGGACCUAUUCAUUUACUCAUUAUGCUGUGAGUACACCACAGUUUUAUCAGGGAAAAAAAAUUAUAUUUGUGUGUUUCUCACUGCUUGACAAGGACAGAUGUGGCCCUGUUAAAAAUGUUUAAAUGUCGUUUGGUUUAAGGAACAGCACACUGAUUUUAUUUUAAAAUAUUCCUGUUUGGACAGUCUGUUAAAGUCAUAAAGGAAUACUUGAUAUAUUUCAUAAGUAAAGUGUAAAUGUAAUAUUAGUUUUUAAUGUUGUGAAUUUGGACUGAACAGCACACUUCUGUUUUAUAUCUAAACCUUUUGUAAAAUAAAUGAUUG